GGGAGAGAAGGGGGUGACACCGGUGAGGCUGGACGUCGCCGUCGUUGCUGCGGAUCAGGUAGGGAGAGGGAGAAGGAGUUCGAAACAGGGAAUGGGGGAAGGAGAAAGGAAGAUGCACGAGAGAGGAGGUGCUGUCCCUGGAGACCGUCCCUACCGCUGGAAGGGGAGCUUCGUUGUUGCUGUCGCGGCUGCAGGUAUGGGGCUUCGAAGAGAGAGAGAGGAGCUCUCAGAGAGAGAGAAACACAAUGGCUAGAGAGAGGAGAGUCUCGCGAGGAGGGGGAGCUGGUACGCCUCCGCCGUUGUCGCAAGCUGCGCCACCGUGCCUCUGGUCACCGGGGAUCGCGCUGACGUCACCGGAAGCCGCUGUUGGAACCUCUGCAAGUUUACCCUAGCUCAGCUUUGCUUCUGCCUGUUCUGUCCUUGCCGGUGGGGGGUCACCGGAGCUGCUGAUGCUCCAUCCUCUUAUUUCCUUUGGGCUGUUGUUGAGGUUGCUGCAGUGAGAAAUCGAAGUUGUUGCUACUACCUCGGUCCAAAUUUCGUGCUCUUUCAUUCCGUUCUACUUCAACCUUCCUUGGCACUCUGGUUUGGUUUCUUCGGUCCCUUGGGACCAAUUUG